GCCUGGGGUGUGAGCGGGGAGGAGCUAGUAGUGAGUGCCCCGCCGGCCGAGGCGCCGGGUGGGUUGCAGUCCUAAGGACCUCAGACUCGAUUUGCAGUGAUCCGUGAUUAGUGAUCUGUGAUGUUUCUAUUAUAAUUGUCUUGGAGUGCCGCACACUAUGCCCAUGAAGAAGUCAAAAUAUCGGCAUUAACAGAAGUUUGGAAGAGGUUGAUUCCAACUUUAUGGAUGACAUGAAGGGGCUCAAAACUUCAGUGGGGGAAGUAACCAGAAAUAAAAAGAAAGCUAGAAUUAGAAGUGGAGCUUGAAGAUGGGACUGGAUUGCUGCAAUCUCAUGAUAAGACUAAUGGAUGAGGAAUUGCUCCUUAUGGAUGAGCAGAGAAAGUGGUUUCUUGAGAUGGAAACUACUCCUGGUGAAGAUGCUGUGAAGAUUGUCAAAAUGACAACAAAGGAUUUGGAACAUUACAUAAACUUAGUUGAUAAAGCAGUGGCAGGUUUUGAGAGAACUGACUCCAACUUUUAGAUCUACUGGAAAACCAAAACGCUCAUGGACUCAUUUUAUUGUGAUAUUUGCUUUAUUGUGGUCUGGAAUCUAACCUGCAAUAUCUCUGCAGUACGCCUGUAUAAUAAUGAAAAAGAUGAACAAAAGAAUCUACAAGUAAGAAAUAUGUCUUUUAAAAUGUCUAAGAGGGGCACCUGGGUGGCUCAGUUGGUUUAGCGACCAACUCUUGGUUUCAGCUCAGGUCAUGAUCUCAGGGUCUUGGGAUUUAGCCCUGAGUCAGGCUCCAUGCUCAGCGUGGUGUCUAUUGGAGAUUAUCUCCAUCCCGCGCCCCCCGCCCCCGCGCCC